CAGUUCGGAUUGUAGGCUGAAACUCGCCUACAUGAAGCUGGAGUUACUAGUAAUCGCAGAUCAGAAUGCUGCGGUGAAUGCGUUCCCGGGUCUUGUACACACCGCCCGUCACACCAUGGGAGCCGGUAAUACCCGAAGUCAGUAGUCUAACCGCAAGGAGGACGCUGCCGAAGGUAGGAUUGGCGACUGGGGUGAAGUCGUAACAAGGUAGC
rnacentral:rRNA from 1 species